rnacentral:rRNA from 1 species
AUUGAACGCUGGCGGCAGGCCUAACACAUGCAAGUCGAGCGGAUGAAGGGAGCUUGCUCCUGGAUUCAGCGGCGGACGGGUGAGUAAUGCCUAGGAAUCUGCCUGGUAGUGGGGGAUAACGUCCGGAAACGGGCGCUAAUACCGCAUACGUCCUGAGGGAGAAAGUGGGGGAUCUUCGGACCUCACGCUAUCAGAUGAGCCUAGGUCGGAUUAGCUAGUUGGUGGGGUAAAGGCCUACCAAGGCGACGAUCCGUAACUGGUCUGAGAGGAUGAUCAGUCACACUGGAACGGAGACACGUUCCGGAUUCCUACGGGGGGCAGCAGUGGGGAUAAUGGGAAAUUGGGCGAAAGCCUGUUCCAGCCAGGCCGCGGUGUGAAAGAGGGUCUUCGAUUUGUAAAGCACUUUAGUUGGGGGGGAGGGCAAGUAGUUUAAACCUUGGUUGUUUGAAGUUUACAAACAGAAUAAGCCCCGGCUACCUCCUU